rnacentral:rRNA from 1 species
ACGGUCCAGACACCUACGGGUGGCAGCAGUCGAGAAUUUUUCUCAAUGGGGGCAACCCUGAAGGAGCGACGCCGCGUGGAGGAUGAAGGUCUUCGGAUUGUAAACUCCUGUCAUUUGGGAACAAAUACCUGAUUUAACUGAUUAGGAACUGAUAGUACCAGAAGAGGAAGAGACGGCUAACUCUGUGCCAGCAGCCGCGGUAAUACAGAGGUCUCAACCGUUGUUCGGAUUCAUUGGGCGUAAAGGGUGCGUAGGCGGUCGCGCAAGUCGGAUGUGAAAUCUUAGGGCUCAACCCUGAAACUGCAUUCGAUACUGCGUGGCUCGAGUACUGGAGAGGAGACUGGAAUUUACGGUGUAGCAGUGAAAUGCGUAGAUAUCGUAAGGAAGACCUGGCGAAGGCGAGUCUCUGGACAGUUACUGACGCUGAGGCACGAAGGCCAGGGGAGCAAACGGGAUUAGAUACCCCGGUAGUCCUGGCAGUAAACGGUGUACGUUUGGUGUAGGCGGAUUCGACCCCGCCUGUGCCGGAGCUAACGCGUUAAACGUACCGCCUGGGAAGUACGGUCGCAAGAUUAAAACUCAAAGAAAUUGACGGGGGCCCGCACAAGCGGUGGAGUAUGUGGCUUAAUUCGAUGCUACGCGAAGAACCUUACCAGGGUUUGACAUGUAUCUCUAAGUCGGUGAAAGCUGGCGAGUUGUAGCAAUACAACAAUUUACACAGGUGCUGCAUGGCUGUCGUCAGCUCGUGUCGUGAGAUGUUGGGUUAAGUCCCGCAACGAGCGCAACCCUUACGUCCUGUUGCCACUCCUUUAUUGGAAGCACUCUGGACGGACUGCCCUGUGAAACGGGGAGGAAGGUGAGGAUGACGUCAAGUCAGCAUGGCCCUUACACCCUGGGCUGCACACGUACUACAAUGCUCAGUACAAUAUGAGCCGAAACCGCGAGGUGGAGGAAAUCGAUAAAACUGAGCCCAAUUCGGAUCGCAGGCUGCAACUCGCCUGCGUGAAGCCGGAUCGCUAGUAAUGCCGUACCAGCUACGACGGCGUGAAUACGUUCCCGGGCCUUGUACACACCGCCCGUCACAUCAUGGGAGUCGUUUGCACCCGAAGUACACCACUGGUGUCCUACGGUAUGAGCGGUAACUGGGAUGAAGUCGAAACAUGGUAGCCGUAGGGGAACCUGCGGCUG